CGAUUGUCCCAAUGAGGUAAGCACCAAACCCUUAGUUACUAUCCUGUCCAGUUGGAAAAUGAGCUCAACUCUUAUACUGUUAGAUUGUCAUUGGCUUGUGUAUAUGGGCAUUAUUGUCUUGUAAUGUGAUCUGUUAAUUGGAAUAAGAACUGAACUCUUAUUAUGCUAGAUUGGCAUGUGUACAUGAGCAUUACUAUCUGAUAAUGUGAUCUGUUAGUGGGAAAAUGAUGAUAACACUUUUACGGCUUUGGCAUGUGUAUAUGAGCAUGUUACGGUAAAGCGUAAAGAGUAAAACAUAAACAAAAUUUUUUUGUUAGUAGUCCUCACAAUGUUGCUACAUCAGCAAUAAGUUUUUGAUUUUCCCUGUUGACUGAAGAGGAAAACAUAAACCAAAGUUGAACCAUCUAAAAUCAGAUCUAAACUAUAUAGGAGUAAAGAUGAACUGUGAUAUCUAUUAACGAACAAUCAUGACCCUUAGCGAUCAAGAAUUCGUUCUAACCCUUAUGCAGCACAAAUUCAUCUUUUUAGCACGCCAUUCACAAAACAUGUAUGUAUAAAAUAUGUUUAUCUAAAAAUCUAAAACUGAGAUCUAAAAUUUUUUUAUUUUCAUAAUUGUUUUAAAAAAAAUUGCUUAAAUUUUGCUUAUGUUUUACUUAUGUUUUUUGUCAGUGCUUAUGUUUAACUAUGUAUUGUUUAUUUUAAAUUAUUUUGUGUGUUUAAAGUAUAUAAAACCUCUUAAAGUUAUUAAGAUUUUACCUUUUAGUCAUGUAAAAAUUAAAUGAAUACUCAAUGUGUUAUACUGACUCUCUGAUUAUGGUAAAUGGUGACCAAAUAGGGAGGAAGCUUGAUUUACAUAUUUUUAUAAUCUUUUACGAAGAAUGUUUGUUCUCGUUAUCCAUUGGAGUUGGACAUUGUAUAUUCUUUUACCAGCAAAGGACCAAACCCUUACUUUUUGGGCAAAUCAGUUUUGGUAUCAUGGCCUAUACUUCGAGAUAAGAUAUGUUCGCGUGGUUUAGAUGAGUAAAGAGUUAGCAGAAACACAGUGUCGUGGGAAGGCUAUGAGGGGCCUGAGGCAAAAAUGUUUUAUUACAUAGAAAACAAUAGUGUUUAAUUUUUUAAUAUGAACCAGAAAAUAAAUUGUUUUCCUAUCUUAGAUUUUGAAAUUAUCUUUAUGAAAAAUUAAUCUUAUGCAAAUUAAUGGCAAACAUUAUAUUUUGGUUACAAUUGAAUUUUUUUAUAUAUACACUCAAAUUCUAUACAGAAAAAGUGAUUUCAUCAUUUAAAGUAGAAAAAAAAAAUUAAUGUCCACAGCAAAUAAACAGAAAUGUUCAUCUUACAAUACUAAAAGGAAAAUAAGCUCAACACCUAAGGUGUCCACAUCAGAUUAAAUAAUCCACCAAUCAAAAUGCACUUAUCUGCCAUGUCAUCAAAAAUAUAACCAUGCGAAAUAAUAUGGACUGUUAUUUGAUGUGGCCCAAGUUUCACGAUCUCUCUGACUUAUUCACUUGUCUUCAUCAUCUCAAAGCCUAGAAACCCUAUCGUCUAUGUGUUUCACCGUUACUUUAUAGUUAAGUCCAACCAGUUUCUUCUAUCGAUUUUCUCUUACACUCCUUUAAUUUUAAUACAUAUGAUCGUUAUGACUGCCCAUGUCUCUCCUCCUAUAUAAAGACCUUUUCCGACCUCCAAGCUCAUUCAACAACAUCCAUAAAACGUCCUCCUGCAAGGCAAACUCAAUCGGAAAAAUUUCUAGCCAAGUCUCCGGCGGCUCUAUUUUUCAACGCCAUCACACCAGGCCUCUCUGACUCAGAGUUACUCUUCAGUUUAUUCCACUUAUGGGAGUCAAGAAACAGGGAGCUCCGUAUUGGCUUUGAACUGCAGCUCUUCAACAAGUAGGUAUGAUCUUUUACUGAUUAACAUAACCCUAUACUAUUUUUACAAGUCGCGGAAAAAAUGUGUAUCGGUGUUAUCUGUUCAUCUCCGUGUUUGAUUUAUAAUGCAUAUAGCUUGCAUUUCAUUUAAAUAAAAAAUAAACAUCAAAUAUUAAUUCUCAAAUCGUUGUGUCUAACAGACUCUUCGAUAUCCCUGACGUGGUCGACGAGGAUUUUCUUAUUUUACUAUGUUAAAGAACUUCUAAAUUUUAGAAUACUUGAGGGACUAACUGUGAACUAUCUUCGAGGGUUAAAGGUAUGUAUGGUGGCUUUCAGUUUUUGUUUCCCUUUCGUGUGACAAAAAGGAUUCUAUAUAGCUGAUGUGUAUGUCACCAUGGUAGAUGACAGAGGCAAGGGCUAGAGGGCUUAAAGGAGUCAUACGAUCUUGCGUUAUGUGCUUUUGUAGUGUCUGCAAAGGAAUUCAGGCUUGUGAUUGGACCUACAAAAUGCCUAACAAGUAAAUGUAAUAUUUAAAUUUUCAUUUCUGCAGGUAGUAAGCCCUGCCUUCUACGAGCAGGCAUGCUUCUAGCACAAACAAGCGCCCACCAGAGUAUAUAUCUUAUUGGAGUCAGGAUGCACACUUCGUGAUGUCAUUAAUUCUGUAAGAAUUUCUUUUAUUUAGGAUAAUGUAUUUAGAUUCAAACUGUGUUAACUGUAAAUGGAAACAAUUUUUUUUGCAUUUACCCUACAACUCUCACCUAACCUUUUCAAGUAGGCAACACAACUUUUAUCUCAAGUAACGUGAAGAUGAUUUGCCAACAUGAAGACUGCAGACGACAAGGUUUCCAAGGAUUUAUGGGUCUUUAGCAUCUUACAAUGACCACAAACUAAUUUUCACACUUGCACAUAUACAGGAAAAGCCAAGAAAGUAGUGCAGUGUGAGAAAUCAAGAAACAUUGAUCUACAAGGAUUUCAAUAAUUUUGGUUGGUGACUCAAUAUCUUACCUUCUCUCAUUGAUAUUAUCAUGGUUGCUUUCUUCGGCUGGACUAAAAUCGUUCAACAUCAAUGUUUUCUUUUCCUCCAGUUGAAUACUGUAAGUACUAUGGAUGCUACAGUUAAAUUGAACUGCGUAAGCACGGGUUUCAGCUCUCAAGACACUCAAUUGUAAAGGACUUAGCUGGCAGCAUCUUUGAAUGAUCUUUACACGGCUGGCACCGAAAAGCUUUCUCUGUCACUGAAACACGUUGUACAAUUACAAGAUGGAUGCUCCACUGAAUGAGAGGGAUGGAAGACUUUUAAUGAUGGUUCUACUUUGCUGAAAUAGGAAUGAGCUUCCAAUGAAUAAAGGUUAUAAACCAUAAGCGAAAUUCCAUUCAAAACCCAUUGUGUCAACAGAGAAUAGAAGUUAUAAUUUUUCUAAGUCAGUUUUUCAUUUAUCAUGCAAGUCUGGUUAUGUGUUUGUCACAGGCUGUUCUCAACUCUAAUUCUGCUGUGUACAAUAGAUGUGCUUAUCUGAAUCUUUCUAAUUAUUUUCUAGCGAUCUAUAACUCUUUGGAUGAAGAUGAGACACUAAGAGAGCUGAUUUAGUAGGUAUGCUUUCACGCGGAGGAAGUUUGGAAGUUAUCAAGGCAACUAUCUUAUCAUAUACAAUCAUCUGCCAAACAUGGCCUAAACAUAUUUUCUUCACUCAUUUCAUAUAUCUUUUCAUUUAUUGAUAGAUAGAUAGCUAAGUAAUCAGUAGGGCCAUAUUUCAAUUUAAAUGUGAUGUUCUGUGUCAGAUGUCUAAAUUGCAAUGUUUAUUUUCUGGGCAGGUCUGACAAUCAAACCGGACUGAAUGGGAAGACUUUAGCCGACGAAGAAACAAAGAAUUACCAAAGAUAAAUUUACAAUUGUAAAAGCUCUCACAUGCAUCACAUAUCACAUGGUCUGUAAAAAAUAAUAUUCUUGGCUUAGGACAUAAUAGGAUUUUAUCCCAUGAAGAAAUACAGGUAAUUCUAUUUUCAAAAGGUUUAUUACUUCCUUCAUUAUUCACUUCAAAAUUGUAAUUUUAUUUUAUAAAAUCAAGAAUAUGUUCAUUAGGCCUUUUAUAUUUUUUACUGGUCAUGCUUCACUUCAUAUUUGUUAUUGGCCAUGCUCUGCGUUUUUCAACAUGUCGGGGACAAAGUGCACAAGUGUUUCCUUGAAAGAUCACUAAAACUAAAGAAAAGGGAAAAUAUGAUCUCAAAGGAUCAUGGCAACGUAAAGUCGAAUUGAAAGCUCAAAAAGGUAAUGUUUGAGAGCGUGCAUGUUCGAGGGACAUCAUAAGGAUAGAGUCACGAAGGAUCCCAAAUGGUCCAAGACUCACGAAAGGAUAUUAUUCCCCCAGAGAGUUGGGUUACGGAAAUGAAGAAAUUGACUUAGGCUUUGGUUUGAAGAACUUAAUCGAUAGCCAUUCAGUAACAAGCACAACAAUAAAUUGCAACUGUAAAUCAACUGUCAAAAAAAAAAAACAUCGUCUGAACUAUGUGUUGUCCAAGGUUGAAAACCAUACAAGAAUAGUAAGGAAAUUUGAGGAAACUAUUAAAGGAGACAAACUAAUACCACAUUAACCAAUAAUAGGCCAACAAAUGUUUUUAAAUUCCAGUUCACAAAAAAAUAAAGAAAGUUUAAAAGUCAAAAUAGUGUAUGAAGUUAAUUAACAAAACAAAUAUUAAAGUUAACUUGAAGUAAAAAAA